AUCUCCAAAGAGGAUUAGUGAGGAUCAGAGAGACGACAUGCCGCUGAAGAGAGAAGAUACUGAGCGCGCUCUGCAGGUGAUGGAGGCCUGUCAGGCUGGAGCUGCUGACGGGGUCAAAGGUCGAGCAGAGAAGCUGCUCAACAUCUUCCAGAGUGACCUGUUCCAGGCCCUGCUGGACAUCCAGGAGUUUUACGAGCUGACGGUGUGUGA